rnacentral:rRNA from 1 species
UAGCAAGUUGGUGAGGUAAAGGCUUACCAAGGCGACGAUCUGUAGCGGGUCUGAGAGGAUGAUCCGCCACACUGGAACUGAGACACGGUCCAGACUCCUACGGGAGGCAGCAGUGGGGAAUUUUGGACAAUGGGGGCAACCCUGAUCCAGCCAUGCCGCGUGAGUGAAGAAGGCCUUCGGGUUGUAAAGCUCUUUCGGCCGGGAAGAAAUCGCAUGGGCCAAUACCCUGUGUGGAUGACGGUACCGGAAUAAGAAGCACCGGCUAACUACGUGCCAGCAGCCGCGGUAAUACGUAGGGUGCGAGCGUUAAUCGAAUUACUGGGCGUAAAGCGUGCGCAGGCGGUUUUGUAAGACAGGCGUGAAAUCCCCGGGCUUAACCUGGGAACUGCGUUUGUGACUGCAAGGCUAGAGUACGGCAGAGGGGGGUGGAAUUCCACGUGUAGCAGUGAAAUGCGUAGAGAUGUGGAGGAACACCAAUGGCGUAGGCAGCCCCCUGGGUCGAUACUGACGCUCAUGCACGAAAGCGUGGGUAGCAAACAGGAUUAGAUACCCUGGUAGUCCACGCCCUAAACUAUGUCAACUAGGUGUUGGGUGGGUAAAACCAUUUAGUACCGUAGCUAACGCGUGAAGUUGACCGCCUGGGGAGUACGGCCGCAAGGUUAAAACUCAAAGGAAUUGACGGGGACCCGCACAAGCGGUGGAUGAUGUGGAUUAAUUCGAUGCAACGCGAAAAACCUUACCUACCCUUGACAUGCCAGGAACUUGCCAGAGAUGGCUUGGUGCCCGAAAGGGAGCCUGGACACAGGUGCUGCAUGGCUGUCGUCAGCUCGUGUCGUGAGAUGUUGGGUUAAGUCCCGCAACGAGCGCAACCCUUGUCGUUAAUUGCCAUCAUUUAGUUGGGCACUUUAACGAGACUGCCGGUGACAAACCGGAGGAAGGUGGGGAUGACGUCAAGUCCUCAUGGCCCUUAUGGGUAGGGCUUCACACGUCAUACAAUGGUCGGUACAAAGGGUUGCCAAGCCGCGAGGCGGAGCCAAUCCCAGAAAGCCGAUCGUAGUCCGGAUUGCAGGCUGCAACUCGCCUGCAUGAAGUCGGAAUCGCUAGUAAUCGUGGAUCAGCAUGUCACGGUGAAUACGUUCCCGGGUCUUGUACACACCGCCCGUCACACCAUGGGAGCGGGUUCCGCCAGAAGUAGGUAGCCUAACCGCAAGGGGGGCGCUUACCACGGCGGGGUUCGUGACUGGGGUGAAGUCGUAACAAGGUAGCCGUAGGGGAACCUGCGGCUG